rnacentral:rRNA from 1 species
UACAGAGGGUGCGAGCGUUGUCCGGAAUCACUGGGCGUAAAGGGCGCGUAGGUGGCGUCGCAAGUCGAUGGUGAAAGCUCGGCGCUCAACGCCGAGUCGGCCCUUGAUACUGCGAGGCUGGAGCACUGUAGAGGCUAAUGGAAUUCCGGGUGUAGCGGUGGAAUGCGUAGAGAUCCGGAAGAACACCGGUGGCGAAGGCGGUUAGCUGGGGCAGUUGCUGAC